AUUGAACGCUGGCGGCAUGCUUUACACAUGCAAGUCGAACGGUAACAGGCCUUCGGGCGCUGACGAGUGGCGAACGGGUGAGUAAUGCAUCGGAACGUGCCCAGUCGUGGGGGAUAACUAUCCGAAAGGAUAGCUAAUACCGCAUACGAUCUGCGGAUGAAAGCGGGGGACCUUCGGGCCUCGCGCGAUUGGAGCGGCCGAUGUCAGAUUAGGUGGUUGGUGGGGUAAAGGCUCACCAAGCCAACGAUCUGUAGCUGGUCUGAGAGGACGACAAGCCACACUGGGACUGAGACACGGCCCAGGCGCCUACGGGAGGCAGCAGUGGGGAAUUUUGGACAAUGGGCGCAAGCCUGAUCCAGCAAUGCCGCGUGCAGGAAGAAGGCCUCCGGGCUGUAAACUGCUUUUGUACGGAACGAAACGGCUCUGGUUAAUACCCGGGGCUAAUGACGGUACCUGAAGAAUAAGCACCGGCUAAGUACGUGCCAGCCGCCGCGGUAA
rnacentral:rRNA from 1 species